rnacentral:misc_RNA from 1 species
CAACGACAUCUUCGGAUGGGCGCACCGCAGACCCCUAAAGCCAUAGAUGAUGAGUUCGUACCUCGAGUGGACGUAAUUGAUGAGACUAGGCAGAGCCAGGAGCGCAAGCUGGAUCGACGACGGGCUCAGGCCGGCCCGCGGCGGCGUGGCCUUGACAGCGACCUAGAGAACGAGCGUCGCAGGCCGCGUCGGAGACCUAAGAGGUCGCUGCCAAAACUAUACAACCAAGAAGAAGAGCAAGGCAAGCCGCCGCAAGGCGGUGUUGUCACCUUUGAGCCGAUACAGCAUGAUCAUGACUUUUGCGAGAGAGUCGUGAUCAAUGUAAGCGGCCUUAGAUUCGAGACACAACUUAGGACUUUAAACCAAUUCCCGGAGACACUCUUGGGCGAUCCAUCGCGCAGGAUAAGAUACUUCGACCCCCUUAGGAACGAGUACUUCUUUGACAGAAACAGACCGUCUUUCGACGCUAUCCUCUACUACUACCAGAGUGGCGGGCGGUUACGUCGCCCCGUCAACGUACCACUCGAUGUUUUCUCGGAAGAAAUUAAAUUUUACGAACUUGGUGAACAGGCAACCAACAAAUUCCGCGAGGAUGAGGGUUUCAUCAAGGAGGAGGAAAAGCCUCUCCCCUCAAACGAACGCCAACGCAAAAUCUGGCUGCUCUUCGAAUACCCUGAGAGCUCUCAAGCUGCCCGCGUCGUUGCCAUUAUUUCCGUCUUCGUCAUCCUCCUGUCCAUCGUCAUCUUCUGCCUCGAGACUUUGCCCGAAUUCAAACACUACAAAGUCUACAACACCACCACAAAUGGCACCAAAAUCGAAGAAGAUGAAGUACCGGAUAUUACUGAUCCAUUUUUCUUAAUAGAAACUUUGUGUAUCAUCUGGUUUACCUUCGAGUUGAUAGUGCGAUUUUUAGCAUGUCCGAACAAAUUCAACUUCUUCAGAGACGUGAUGAACAUAAUAGAUAUUAUAGCUAUUAUUCCCUACUUCAUCACGCUUGCUACCGUCGUUGCUGAAGAAGAGGACACGCUGAAUCUACCGCGCGCUCCGGUCUCGCCGCAAGACAAGUCAACGAAUCAGGCAAUGAGCUUAGCAAUCCUGAGAGUGAUUCGUCUCGUUCGAGUCUUUCGGAUCUUCAAGCUAUCACGUCAUUCCAAGGGUCUGCAAAUUUUAGGACGCACCCUCAAAGCUUCUAUGCGAGAACUUGGAUUGUUAAUAUUCUUCCUCUUCAUUGGUGUGGUGCUGUUUUCGUCUGCGGUGUACUUCGCGGAAGCGGGAAGCGAAAAUAGCUUCUUCAAAUCGAUACCUGAUGCGUUUUGGUGGGCGGUCGUUACCAUGACGACCGUAGGAUACGGAGACAUGACGCCUGUCGGUGUGUGGGGCAAGAUCGUGGGGUCGCUGUGCGCGAUCGCUGGUGUGCUUACGAUCGCGCUGCCGGUGCCCGUCAUCGUGUCCAACUUCAACUACUUCUAUCACCGCGAAACGGAUCAGGAGGAGAUGCAAUCACAGAACUUCAAUCAUGUGACUAGUUGUCCAUAUCUACCAGGCACCAUGGGUGAACCAUAUUUAGUUUCAGGACCAAUCAAGAAGACAUCUGUCAGCGAUGACUCCUCCUCCGAUAUGAUGGAGUUUGAUGAAUCAGCCCUCGUAACCGAUCCACACCUAGAGACCAACUUACGUCGGUUACGGGAGGAAGAACGGUUGCUUUUAGAACAGCAGGCAGCUAUGGAGGCGGCAGGCAACUGCGACGACAUCGCCACACUAGAACAUCUGGAUGCUCUGCGUCUCAACCAGAUGAAACAGCAUGAACUGAUGAAACAACAAGCUGCGUUGGCAAAACGCAACGCUCGCGCUCUUGCGGCGGACAACGCGCGCCGUGACCCGCGCCGGCGGGCGCCGUGCAAUGUGCGCGUGAACCAUCUCCACUGCGCUAGUGGCACGGACUCCAUCGAAACAGACGUCUGACCAACGGUCGAAGUAGAAGUACUCGUACACCAUCCCGCGGGACAGUAAAGCUGUAAGGCGAGCGAGCCAGGCGUGUGGCGCGGCCGCCUGCCGGCGCGCUCGCCGCCCGCGUGCCACGUCUGAACUCGUCGCCACGGACUUUGUGCUUCUACGACAAUUACUUAGAAAAGUAGUCUCCGAUGUUAUUAUCUAUUAGUCUACGCUUGUACCAUAUGAGACCAGAUUUAGUAAUAGUUUGGUUUAUUCCCAUCUUUAAUAUUGUCCAUCUGGGGAUGUGCGGCUUUUUUACUUCCUUCUGGUAUCUGAUAUAGCUAUCAUAAGUAUGACGUUAUGAAAAACAUGGUCAAAAAAAGAAAACGUAUUUUAUUAGCUGCACCAGGAUUUUUUUUUAAUAUAAAAAAAUAUCGGGCUGAAGAGUCGCCACAUCCUCCGUAGUACGUCUAUCAUAAAAGAUGGAAACAAACCACUUAAACGGCUUAUACCGCUUCAACACUUUAUACACUUCGACACUUCUGUAAUAUUAGGAAUUGUUCUUCUGAAAUAUGUAAUAGAAAUAGGCCUACAUUAUAUCAUUAGAUGGUAAUAUACAUUAUUGAGACACUGAAACUGAUAGAUGACAAUAUUAAGGAUGUGACAAUAGCUAGGCAACUCAGUGCGCCUGCGAUCCCUGAGUAGGAAUUAUCUGAUAUGAACCAUGACUGGACAGCGACCUGUGCCGCCGUUGCGCUGUCGCAACGCGCGGGCGGCACUAACAUCACUAUGAGUAUUUCAUGAAAUUUUGAAUAAAUCAUGACUGCUUUCGGACCGACGAUUUCAUUGAAUUCAAAUCAUGCCUCAGUAGAUACAAGGCUUAUACUCCAACGGAAAGUGAUGCAGCGGAUAUAUUUAGGAAGAGAUGGUUUCGGCGAGGCAUUUAGAACGAGGUUGCAGACAACCUCGCAUGAAAACACAAAUUAUUUAUGUUACAUGUUGUAAAUCUAUAUAAUCACAACCGCGACCCCUGAAUCCUGUACAUAUGUUGUAACAGCCUCGGCAACCGAUCGGACUUCUGCAAACUUGUCCUUUAUAUGCCUUUAAAUAAAUAUAGAUAUACAUAUUUCAUAUAUAGCAGUUUAUUGAUGUUGUGUUAUUCAUAAGUGUGUUAAAUGUUUUAUUCAAAGGAAUGCAGAUGGUUGUGACAAGGUUGAAAUUGUUACUAGAAGUUAUGACUGGCGUAGAUAAUUGCAUAUCCAAAAAUAAACCGACAGGAAUGCUGUAGACCAAUAGCUAUGAUAGUCAAACUGUCAACGACUACGUUAAGGCAUUAUUGUUAUCGUUUAGUUAAUCGUUGAGCAAUAAAUUCAUAUCUAAAGCCUUUCCAAACGGUACAUUUCUCAUGAAAUCAGCGUAUUUUCAAUAAUUCAUCGGAUUAAAAACUUUCGAUAUUGGCUUGCUUUGAAAGCUGUAUUUUGUCUUCAAUACGCAAUGCAAUUUAGGCUCGUUAUGACGUACAUAUCUUAUGCGGGUAUUUGUGAGUUAUAUUUAAAAGUUGUUAAUGUGUUCGAAAAGUUUUUUGGUCGAAAUUUUCCAUUUGAAAUUUCGUCUCAUUGUCAAUUUGCUUGGGAGUAGGAAUAGAACGACUUGGCUUGGUUGCCGCACCGGUUGUUUUGUGAUCUCGGAACCUCGAUUUGCCAACUUCAUGGCAAAGCGGCAAACGGCUCACAAAACUGCUUAUGCGUCAACUCGACGGACUUGUUAAUUAUAGUAGAUGUUAAUAGAAUCAAAGAAUAAUUUCGCCAUAUCAUUAAACACAUGUCAUAGCGUUAAACAUUUAAGUAAAGUACAUGUUUAUUCUCUUAGAUUAAAGUAAAUUAGGAAUUAGUAGAUUAAGAUUGAAAUUAUUUAAUUACUAUUUCCACACUAUUGCCUAAUAUAUAAUGUCUCGAUUGGCGAACAGUCAAAUUAGAAAUGGAAUAAUUUUAAACGAAAUGUAAUGAAACAAAAGCUGCCAAAAUUAAACACUAUCGCUCAAUUUCUUUGAAAUUAAAUUUUUAAAUUUAUAUCAGAGUAGAAUAUAAGUACAUUAAUUAAUUGAUGCAUACGCUAUAUAAUAUACCUAAUAAUACAUAGAGGCUUAAAGAGAUUACGCUUUAAAAAUCAUUCAGCCACUUUAUAAAUUCUGUAUUUUACUGCUGGUUCGCAGAGUUCUAUUUGAAUCACUAUCGCUUUUCAUUCAAAAGUAUCAUAGAUAAAAAAACAUAAAUUUUUAGUGCGGCUGUUGAUAAUAAUAGUAUCCCUUGAGUCGGGAGUCUGAGCCCGUAAAUACUUCUGUAUAAAUCAAUAGAGCAAUGUGCGUAUGUAAAGAAUCCCGGAAUAGUUUUGGUUGUCAAUAAUAUUCCCAGUUUCCACAAUAACGCUCGGACACAAGCGCAUUCUCGCACGCGCCUUGUGUCUGUACGGUAAACGUUGUUUCAAUUAUUACGAGAGCUUCGGUAUUUUGAACGACAAUCUUGUUCAAAUCUAAACUUGGAUUGUACUGAAUUUUCAAUAAACUUAUUAUGGACAAUUUAAAAGAUGUUGUAGAUGUGAUAGACGGGACGAAAGCCUUCUACUUAGAAUGUUUACACUAUCGGCCAAAGGUCACCGAGGCUGUUGCAAGUACCGUCUAGUAUGAAUGUGUCAAUCUAUAUUAUGUGUUUAACUGUAGAUAUAUGUGUCUAUAUACUCAACUAGCGCACGGGUCCACUGACUGACGAGAUACAGGAAUAAAAUUAUGAGAAAGAUUGGAUAUAACGAAAAUGUUUAAUUUUAGCGUAUUAAGAAAUUAUUCUUAUCAAUAUGUACGGCGUUAAUGUCGAUUUGAUUUAUUUGCUACGAAUUGUUAUGUUGUUAAGAGAUAACGUUGCGGAAAAUAAAAAGACGGAGGUGCUAUUCUGUUCAAAAUUAUAAACGCUUUCCAAAUUGUAUUAGAAGCAGUUAAGGUAACAUUCGAGCAUCUUGUGGCGUGGGAUCUGGCCGUGACGUAGUUAUACAAUCGGGCCGGAGACGCGCCGAGGGCCAAGUCGGAUUCUGUAAGGCGAGACUGAGCUACAUUCCAAUGUUAUGUAAAUGAAAUGUGACGAAGUUACGGAUUGUGAAUUUCUCAUGUUGGCCAAAAUUGUAUUUACGCCGUGUUUAUAACGCGUAUUAUAAUUUUUGCUCAGUAUUACUAGUUGAUAUGAGGGCGAGAUUGUAAAGUCACGGACCCGCUGCGGAAUGUACAGCUGUUCGUUCCCUUUAUAUACUGGUUCAGAUCGAGCUAUAGAACAAACACUAUAUAGAUUCCAAUGUAUACAAUUAGAACAAUUUGGUGAUACAUGACGUAUAGUGGUUUAGACUGAAAGUUGAAAUAAUGCUAUCUUACUUUUUUCUCAGAUAUCGUUGUGUAAGCGAGUGGCAUUUUUUCAAGAUUCAAUUUAAAUUAUUGUCUUAUUGUAGAGAAAAUUGUAAUAAUAGUCAAAGAUCAAUUUGCGAAAUGGACAAAUUGUUAGUACCACAUAGAGCGAAUUUAUGUAGACAUGGCAUAUAAAGGGAACAAGCAUUAAAUCCAACUUCGUUUUAAAUGGCUCCAAAGAAUCUUGAAAAUUUCUUUCACUUCAAGAUUCUCUUAUAGUAGUUUACAUAUACCUAGAUUUCAGUGAAGGAAUCUUUUUUUUUCUAUCUCGUAGUUAGGGCGAAGUUGGUUACUAUUAAAUGUAUUAAGUCUGAAGAGACAGACUGUAUAUAAUAUGGUCUUUAGUGAACAACUGUAAUCAGUAAAAUUUUAUCUGUAUAUUUGUUUUAAGAUUUAUAGUUAGGUAUCUGCAAACCUUUUAGCGUUGUAUAUCUUGUGGAUAUACGUUUCGCUUGUUUGAUUGUUGUCGUUUGCUUCACGUGUACUCCGGAACUGGGCGGGACGCCGGCGCUGGCGCGGCUUGGCGCGCAUACACAAGUCUCGGGUUUAUUACAUUGACACAACAUUGAUCAUAUCGGUAACGUAGUUCUCAGUACAUCUCAACAAUAGCUGUAGAAAUGACAAACAAAACACAUCCCAAGUUUGUCACUUGCACACAAAUCAAAAUAGUUUGCUUAAGUGCCAUUCAGGUGAAUUUAUGUAAUAAAUAUGAAAGUAAAGAUUAAGGUUGAUGUUUUCUUGCAUGUGUACAAAAAGCCCGCAAUUUGCGUCAAUGCAGUAAACGCACUAAGCAAAAUAUCAAAUUACGUUUAUACACUUGCCCUCUCCGUCCAGGACAAAGCGUGUUCAUUCUAUCACUAAAUUAUAUAAAUAUAUAACCUUAACUUUAUUUCUAAAGUAUGUUCAAAAUAUCUAUAUUAUUUAAAUUUACAAGUAUUUCAGUUCAUCAUAAAAUAGGCUUCACUUUAAGAUAUAUCAUAUAGAACUGGAAUGAACGUUCAAAAGUUUAUCGCUUUUGUUUUUUUUGGUACAAAUUAAAUUGCAUUAAUAAGAGUGGAGUACUAGAUACAUACCUAAUCUCUCAUAAAAUUUAAGGUUUUAUAAUGUUAAGAGCUUUUCUAGUAUACUUAAAAAUGAGAUCUUAUGAGAUAUUCAGAAUUUUUCGCGGUAUAUCAACAUUUCCAUCCAGUAUUAUUAGAUAAAAUAGUUGUAAUAACAAUGCGAUAUCUUGCUCCUUAUAGUACGGUAAUUAAAUAGGUUCAAUUGGCAGUUUGUAUUUCUGAUUCAUAUCUGAAUUCUAUUAAGUCCCGUCGGUGGUCUGAGUUUCAGAGGGGCGUGAAUCGUUGCUAUUCUUUACUAUAGCUACCCUACGACCACAUAAUUCGAUAUAUUAGCAGCUUUGUGGCACAUUACUAAAACUUACCAAUACGAUACAAAAUACAUGUAACUAUUAACCGAUCGUAUUGUCAAUAUGUUUAGAUAAAAUAAUAACAGUAGUUCAUUUAUUCUCAUACACACAAUAUAACAAAAAUAAAGUACAUGUCAAUUUAAAGCUUUCACAAAGCUAACUGUUACUGAAAUACUUCCCAAAUUAAAUUACCAACUCAAAAUAGUUAUGCCUAUAUUUUUGUCGAUAAAGAUUAUUAGUAGGACUAUCAUUGAAUAUCAAUGUGGCCGAGAUGAAAUAGCUGUAUGGAAACAAGAUUAUGAAAUUCAAGUCAUAUUUUCUGGCAUUGGUGCUUCAGUCAUGGGAAUACUCAAGGCCGCUAAUAAAUCUAAUUAUGUAAUAUGUUUUUUGAAAUGUCUCGCGUCUGUGCCAAUACGCUUUACGAACAUUUAUAAUUUCUCACAGUUGUUUUUUUGAUCUAACGAUCAAUUUAAAAUUAAAUCGGCUCUGAAGCGAAAUCUUUAUACAUUUUAUUGAUUACAAUGAAACCUAAACACUCAGAGGUUAUGAGUUAAAGUUUCGGAUUCCACGUGAAGAUACGAUUAUAAAGUACGUGUUUAUUACACUUUUACUAAAGCAUAUUUUUCUUAAUUUUUUAUAAGUGUACACUAUAAUUUAGAACACGUAUUCCAACACAAUGCUACUGCUAAUUGCGGCGUGAGUGUUAUUUGAGUUUGGGCAUUUGGUGUUUUGCCAAUAAUUUAUGGUUGUAACAGCUAAACGGUAAACGAAUGAAGCGAUUUCGGUUGGGCGCCCGCAUUUCUGUCAAUAUAAAUAUAACGCAUGGCCGCAGCACUAACAUUGUGUAAAUAGUAUAAUAACAAACACUGUGACUUUGUUUGUUUCAAUUUCGGCAAACGUGAGUGUUUCUAAAAUCCACCGCUUAUCUUGGUCCCAACGCCCCGCAUUAUAAUUGACAACAUAGUAUUUUAAAGGGCAUGUCAUGUGUAUGUAAAACAUCCUGUUAGAAACAUGGUGUACGAUGAAUCAGUCUACAAUUACAUUGGUAAUGCAAUAACCGUUCAUAAUGAUACUUAUUGUUUUCCCAAAAUACACUAUUACACACGAACGCUUUACAAAUACUAGCCUUAACUAUACGCUAUAAUUUUGAACGAACUUGUAGAUGAAAUUAUGAAUGAUAACAAACAAAUUUAGAUUCAAACAGUGUUAGUUUAUAAACUACUAUCUUAUAUUGAGAUCUUAACCUAGAACUGUUAAUAUAAGUACACACUAAGUGUUAUUAUGAACGGGAUAUAUUGUCUGGGUAUAUACGUACUUUGAUAUGUACAAAAAUAAUUGUUGCAAUAUCAUGACUCCCUAAGAAUAGCGUUACUAUGUUGUCAUUUACACUUUUUUGCUAGGUUCGGUGGCGGCACUUGUAUUCAGGUAUGUGAAUAUGAACAAAUAUUUAAUAUCAACUCUGUAUCGACCUUAAUGUGGAAAAAUGGAUGCUACGAAUGGAUUGUUAACGUAACUUUAUCAGCGAUACAACACCGAUAUUUCGUAAGUUUUAGAUACUUCGUACUACUUGUUUAAUAAAUCGUCUAAUCUUUUUUAUUAUUGUAUUCCCAGAAACCCCUUCAAGGUAUUAUGUAUAUAUAGAUGCAAUGCGAAAUAAAAUACAAAUCACUGAAACAGUUUAUCGGUGUUGUUUUCAUCUGAUGCGAGUUUUGUGACCGUGUUCUUAAGCGCUACUUUAUACGCUCCUUAGUUUUUAAUGAUAACAUAAAACACCUGACAGCUUCGUGAGUGUUGUCUGAGAAUACGGACACACCUAAUAUAACUAAUAUAAUUAGUAUUGUCAUCUCGGAAUGUUGAGAAUCUUGCUGGGAAGCAGUGGCUAAUCUUUUAGACGUUAUGGUCUGUACGAGGUGACGAGUUGAAAUGUUCUCGGUGUGGAUUGAUCUGUAAAUGUCAAUUUGUGUAAUUGUUUUAUGGUACGCGACUUCGCUACCGAACCAUAUCCAUGCUUACCCUCCCGUGUGAUUGAAGCUUUAAGAAUACUUAUGUUUACAGCUACGCCGAGUUUUCUUUAUUCCUUAUACGUUGUAAAUCC